rnacentral:rRNA from 1 species
UACGGAGGGUGCGAGCGUUAAUCGGAAUUACUGGGCGUAAAGGGUGCGCAGGCGGUUCUGCAAGUCAGGCGUGAAAGCCCCGGGCUUAACCUGGGAAUGGCGCUUGAAACUACAGGACUGGAGUAUGGCAGAGGGAGGUGGAAUUCCACGUGUAGCGGUGAAAAUGCGUAGAGGGUGUGGAGGAACACCGAUGGCGAAGGCAGCCUCCUGGGCCAAUACUGACGCUCAUGCACGAAAGCGUGGGGAGCAAACAGG